rnacentral:rRNA from 1 species
UACGAAGGGGGCUAGCGUUGCUCGGAAUCACUGGGCGUAAAGCGCACGUAGGCGGCUUUCUAAGUCAGGGGUGAAAUCCUGGAGCUCAACUCCAGAACUGCCUUUGAUACUGGAGAGCUUGAGUCCGGGAGAGGUGAGUGGAACUGCGAGUGUAGAGGUGAAAUUCGUAGAUAUUCGCAAGAACACCAGUGGCGAAGGCGGCUCACUGGCCCGGUACUGACGCUGAGGAGCGAAAGCGUGGGUAGCAAACAGG